UUGGGUCUUGGCUCGUGAGAAAGCAGUUUCUGGGCCCCGCCCCUAACUUAGGGGGGGACUCACGGUUUUAAAGAAGCCCUCUCUGAGUCUGCCUUCGUCACUCCUCCUUCUAGAGGUUUCUGCACACAUUGCAGGGGGUUCCACUCACAGUCUUAGGGGGCAGAGCCAGCAAGCCCCCCGGGGAUCCCCUGGCCAAACCUACUCCGGGGGCCUCUCAGGGCCUCAUCGAGGAGCACGGGGCCACAGCGAGGGGCCAGGUGUUUAGUUCUGUGUGUUUCUGGAAGGAGCCUGGGAACAGGUGCAUGGUCUUGGAGAAGCUGCUGCCCCCACCCCCACCCCGGCACUGGCUCCCCGGGGGAAGGAGAACUUCCCGGCCGGCCCUGCCCCUGCCCUGCGACGGCUGCACCCAGAGAACUGAGACAGGAAGUGGGUGGCGGCCGCAGGGAGGGCGGCACCCGUGCAGGCGGUUUACGUGGGAGCCACGAGGACCUUGCCCCACGGCCUCUUCUGGUGGCUUCGAGGGUCAGGACUUGGAGAACGUGGACACGGGACUUGAGCAGAAAGGCCUGGCGAGAAGUUGGAGCUUCUGUGACUUCUGUGCACCGACAGGCCCGCAGCCCCUGUGCCGGCGAGGCCCCAGCCCAGGUGACCGAGGCCCCAGGCCUGUCCUCUCUUGCUGGGUCUCCUUUUCCUCUGGGGGCUGUGGUGCAGCUGAGCCCAGGAAACGUGUGGCGUUGCCGUAGAGACGGUAACCUGCCCAGGUGCCUCACAGCGGCCCUGCCCCCUUCUUCCUGCCUGUCCUCCCUGCUGACUUCUGAGGUCACGGGGAAGGGACUCGGCAAGGGCAGGAGGCACAUUUGGGGGGCGUCCCGUCCAGCGCGUGACGGAGGCGGCACAGGAGAGCGGUGUGCGAGAAUCUGGCCCUCCGUGUCCUGGCUCUGUGGCCUUCGGUGAGUUACUCAACCUCUCUGUGCCUCGGUCCCACAUCUGCAGAACGGAGGUGGUGACAAUCAUGCUUAUACCGCACGGGGUUGUCAUGACGACGAAACCGGGUAACAUUGUCAGUUCUGUGCUUGGCGAGUGCUCAACAGGGUGCCGAUGAUGUUAAAGGCUCUGAUUACGACUGCGGGGGCGGGGGGGGGGGAUGGGGAGGAAGCGCAGAUGAGCGGGGGGUGGGGGGGGUGCUCUGCUGGCGUCCCAACGCCCGGACACCGUGCUCCUGCCACCUCGUCCUCUUUCCGAUGAAUCGCCUUUUGGCCUCCUGUUUCACGUAACCCGUGGCCACAUGGAAUACCUACUGGCCGUUCCGGAGGCCUCUCAAGUUCCUCCUGCUCCAAGCCCAACUCGCUCCUCGACCCCCAGCCCUCGUCCCUCCUUCUCGGAAAGUGGUGUCCUCUGCUGCCCGUCGCCUGGCCCAGCAGGAACAAGGAGGAACGCAGGCUUUGGGGUGGGGCCACCUGGCUCGGACCCCAGUUCCGCCAAUCCUGUGUGACCCCGCAGGUCCCUGGACCCCUCUGAGCCUCAGUUUCACAGCACAUAAACCGUGUCCGUCUUAACAGAUCUCUGGGGAAAAAAUAAAUAAAUAAAGGAGAUACUCCACGGGAGUAUCCACUCCCACCUCCACGGGAUGUGGCCGCACAGGUGACACUAAGAAGGAGCCACACCCCCCUCCACGUCCAAGCUCCGUCAGUGACAGGAUCCUUGGGCGCCACCCUGAACUCCCCCAGCAGCCCCCUUCCUGUCCUGUCACCCUCGUGCUCUCCUGUUCCAGUCCAGCUGCAAAAUGCAGCUGCAAAAACACCUUGCAGAACACCUUGCAAAAAUGCCACAGCUUGGGGCACCGGCGCGGCUCAGUCGGUUGAGUUUCCGACUUCAGCUCAGGUCAUGAUCUCACGGUUCGUGGGUUCGAGCCCCAUG